rnacentral:rRNA from 1 species
UACGUAGGGUGCGAGCGUUGCCCGGAUUUAUUGGGCGUAAAGGGCGCGUAGGCGGCUCUGCACGUCCGUUGUGAAAUCGCCCGGCUCAACUGGGCGGGGUCAGCGGAUACGGCGGAGCUUGAGCAAGCUAGGGGGCAAUGGGAAUUCCCGGUGUAGUGGUGGAAUGCGUAGAGAUCCGGAAGAACACCAGUGGCGAAGGCGGUCUGCUGGGCAGUGGGCUCGAAAGGGCCCUUUAACCGACACUGGAGGCGCGACAGCGUGGGGAGCAAACAGG